GAUGAACGCUGGCGGCGUGCCUAAUACAUGCAAGUCGAGCGAAGCGGGGACGGGUGAGUAACACGUGGAUAACCUCCUAUAAGACUGGGAUAACUUCGGGAAACCGGAGCUAAACCGGAAACUUAUAGAUGGAUCCGCGCUGCAUUAGCUAGUUGGUAAGGUAACGGCUUACCAGGGCAACGAUGCAUAGCCGACCUGAGAGGGUGAUAGGCCAACCUGGAACUGAGACACGGUCCAGACUCCUACGGGAGGAAGCAGUAGGGAAUCUUCCGCAGUGGGCGAAAGCCUGACGAGGCAACGCCGCGUGAGUGAUGAAGGACUUCGGAUCUUAAGACUCUGUAAUUGGGGAAGCGGUACCUAAUCAGAAAGCCACGGCUAACUACGUACCAGCAGCCGCGGUAAUAC
rnacentral:rRNA from 1 species